UCUUAUGUACAUGCCUACAAUGUUAGUGCACCAAAUCCCAUCAUAACUCUGUGGUUAAGCGCGCUUGGGCUAGAGUAGUACUUGGAUGGGUGACCUCCCAGGAAUUCCUAGUGUUUUACAUGCC
rnacentral:rRNA from 1 species